rnacentral:lncRNA from 1 species
UGUCUUCAGGGGUCUAUGAGUUAAGACUACUGUGUGACCCUUUAUGACAUUAGUUUUUAAAAAAAUGAAUAAAUAGUAUUGCAAAUAAUGACACUGUUAAGACCUGUUAGAACUGUGGGUAUUUAAGUAAUACAUCACCUGACUACAUGAUACCAUUUGGUGGCUAUUUAUGUGUUCGACCCCAAGCAAUUCAAGCAGUACUUGUAACAUCAGAAAGGACAGUGGACUCGUAGAUCAGAAAGACAGAAAGACAAAUGAAUUAAUGUUUGCCAAAAUGUUCAAGGGAGAAAACUGAAAGUUGUUUUAAUUGUUGAGAGAUGGAAGGAGAUAAUUUUUGUAUGCAAUGUAGAUUUCAUGAGAAACACCAGGUAAACAGAAGGGGUGUUUAUCAUGGGAAAAGGGAGAUAAGUUAUGGGGGAAGGGGAGAUAAUCAGAUAAGUUAUGGGGAAGGGGAGAUAAUCCAUCAAAAGUGUUAAUGCAUAUACUUCAUCACCAUAAUGUUGUUAUUCCUAUACAUAUAUACUUCACCUAAGACCUAGGUUAUGUCAAGCCUUGGGUGUGAUCUACAUAUAUACUUCACCUAAGUCCUAUGUUAUGUCCAGCCUUGGGUGUGAUAUACAUAUAUAUACUUCACCUAAGACCUAGGUUAUGUCAAGCCUUGGGUGUGAUAUACAUAUAUACUUCACCUAAGUCCUAUGUUAUGUCCAGCCUUGGGUGUGAUAUACAUAUAUAUACUUCACCUAAGACCUAGGUUAUGUCAAGCCUUGGGUGUGAUAUACAUAUAUACUUCACCUAAGUCCUAUGUUAUGUCCAGCCUUGGGUGUGAUAUACAUAUAUAUACUUCACCUAAGACCUAGGUUAUGUCAAGCCUUGGGUGUGAUAUACAUAUAUACUUCACCUAAGUCCUAUGUUAUGUCCAGCCUUGGGUGUGAUAUACAUAUAUAUACUUCACCUAAGACCUAGGUUAUGUCAAGCCUUGGGUGUGAUAUACAUAUAUACUUCACCUAAGUCCUAUGUUAUGUCCAGCCUUGGGUGUGAUAUACAUAUAUAUACUUCACCUAAGACCUAGGUUAUGUCAAGCCUUGGGUGUGAUAUACAUAUAUACUUCACCUAAGUCCUAUGUUAUGUCCAGCCUUGGGUGUGAUAUACAUAUAUAUACUUCACCUAAGACCUAGGUUAUGUCAAGCCUUGGGUGUGAUAUACAUAUAUACUUCACCUAAGUCCUAUGUUAUGUCCAGCCUUGGGUGUGAUAUACAUAUAUAUACUUCACCUAAGACCUAGGUUAUGUCAAGCCUUGGGUGUGAUAUACAUAUAUACUUCACCUAAGACCUAGGUUAUGUCAAGCCUUGGGUGUGAUUUUGGUCAGGGAAUGAUCAUCACAAAUAGUUCGUAUUUUAAUUGUAUCGUAAUAGGAUUCUGUCGAUCGAAGAUUUAGUAUUCAAAUCAGGAAGGAAAACAAAAGUAACCCCAAUCUUAUUUUAUCUAUAACAGAUCAAUGAUUAAGUUUAAAUUGAAUUGUUAUAUAAUUUUUUAAUCUUCACUGAUUUUCUGUGUUUUUUUUUAUCAAAGCUAGGCUGUAUGUAACAACCAGGAUGACCUGGAGAAUUGUUAGUUCGGAUACACACCCUAGUGUUGUUACCUGUCAUUGAAUGUAGUCCCUAAAAACCCAUAGGAUUCAUCAUAAACAGAAUAAAUGUCUUUGGUCCCUAUAAGUCUGGUUGAAUCAGAAAAUCUAUCUAUCAUUUGAUUUCAAAAUCAACAAAUUUAUGUAGAAAAUAUUUUAAGCAUGUUCCCUUUCACCCCUAUGUAACUUUAGUAAACUCUUCAAUGUUUUGAAAUGGAUGAGUCCAUUAUGGUCUACAGUGGUGAAAGGGUUAAGAAAAAUAUAAAAAGAUUACCUUCCUGCUGAAGACUUGGAUUGUCAGAUUGCUAUUUCCUUGUUUUAUUAACGAUGUGGUAGAUACGUGCUUAUCAGCCAGUGUUGUAUUAUUGGUCCUUGUUCAGUGUUUUGGACCUAGUUUUCUUUCCUUUCGUAAUCCCUUUUCAUCAGGAUAACAGUAGACUUGUGGUUACUGUUCCAAUUUACUGGUCAAUUUUUUCAGAAAAAUCCAGUGGUCAUCUCAAUUUUUACAGAGCAAUCUAAUGGUCAACUGUUCUCUACUCUAUUUCAGUCCAAUCUAGUGGCCCAGUCUAGCGGUUAACUUGCUUUCGGGCCAGUCUAGUGGUCAACUCGAUGGCAGUAAAGUGUAGUGGUCGGAGCUGAUUACAUAACCCUUUCACCCCUGUGUAACUUAAGUAGACUCUACCAUGAAUUGAUAUGGAUGAGUUCAUUAUGGUCUACAGUGGUGGAAGGGUUAAAAUCUGUUACCUAAAUAGUGUCUGGCUACCGAACGGCUCUGUACCAUCACAGUAUUUAUAUCAACAGUAAAUGGCUUUUGCUUACCAUUUCACUGGAAAGAUUAAAACGUUGUUAUUGUUCGCCUAUCAUAGUUGUGUACAUGAGCUUAGUCUAUAUGUAGCUUGGUCAGUAUGAAGCAGGCUUAAACAGAUAUAGUGCUGGAGUCCGUGUCCUCGAGACGUGGAAAUGGAGUAGGCAGGCCCCCCAACAGGAGCAUGUGUACGAUUCUUAUUGUUUGCAAUGUUAUUUUGUCAAGCUUCUCAUUGACACAGAUUAGUAGUGUUAUGUAGCAGAUCAGGAACUAGGUUACUGUAUGCAGGGAAAUGUUUGCCUCAGUUUAACUUUUAGCCUUUUUUUUGCUGUCUCCAAUGAGGGCGAAUUUCUUAUGACAGCGAAUUUAAGCACACAACAUGAAAGUUAUAGUACAUAUGUAAUUACAUGUGAAGGGCGAAGUUCACACGAGCGAACACAUGUUUUAUCACCAAAGGGCAAAGGUUUUCCGGUAUACAGUACUUCAGUAAGCCUAUUGGUAAAGAUCAAUGUUAUUGAGAAUAAAGUGUGUUUUCAUAUUUUAGUCUAAUAAACUAUGAAGUUCACUCACAAUUUGUUUCCCAUUUUAUAACCAAACAACAAGUACAUUUAAACUUUGGUCAUAAAAGCAAUGUGUAUUGAAAUUGUGGCAAAGACGCAACAUUUCAUGAUGAAGAAAUGAAUUGAAAAUUAAGUUAUUGAAACAUGGUCCAAAUUCUGGCAGACUUGUUGAUAUCAAGGCAGAAUGCUGUGAAUGUGAAAUUUCAAUUAAUACUUAUACAAUUAUGUAGACUUUUACAAAUUUAUUUCCGGUUGUGUUUCGCACUGCAUGUUGCAGAGCUAUUCAACCCCUGUUCUGGUUGUAUUAUAUUGGUUCCAUUAGGGUAGUGAGAAACAUGCAACAUGUGUCGACUUUCAAAUCAACACUUUUGCAGAAAAUAACAUGUUUUAAGUGUAUGUAGGGUUGAUGUGAAGUCUGUUUACAGAUUUGGGCGUUGUAGAGUUUAUUUGCCGUACGGAAUCCAAGCAAAUAUCUAAUCCCGGUGUAUCAUCAUCAGUAUUUUUGUCAUGUAGUUUAGCAAAUGUCAGAGUGUGUGUAGGCAACUCCAUGAAAUAAGGGAUGUCACUCUAUACUUAUAUAAGGGAAGUAACUCUAAUGUUUAAUAAAGAGAAAUCAUGUAGAGGCGAUAGUGCCAUGCAUUUCUAUGGGAUAAAUCUGAAUCGCACAUCCAUUUCUAAAUAUAUAAUAGUAACUGAAGUGUUAGCUAAGAAAAACUUCAGGCAGGAAAUCAACUGGUUUACUACUUAACAACUUUUUUGCAUCGUGAAUCUAUUCAGGAUUUUCGUAUUCUUAGUGUUAGCUGUCGAAUCAUGGCACACGUUGAAGCUCGUUACUGUAGCAGCAUUACGUAAUUAUGUAUAAAGAGAUAACAGUAUUUCAUGCUAACUUCAUAUUGUUUCGCCUUCCAUGCUAAUGAUAUUAUAUAUAUAGUUCAUUAUCAACACACGGGCUCUCGAGAUUCGGGGGUAAUGAGUUUGUAGAAGGGACAAGAAAUGUAAAAUGUGUCUGGGUCGACAAUGACAGAAAAUGUGCCAUGGUGGGCAGAAAUACAAAUGUUGAAUGUACUCCUCAUGUAAACUGUACAUUUAUCAUUGCCAGUUGCUAGAAAUAAAAUCGUCAUGCAUAACA